rnacentral:rRNA from 1 species
UCGAGUGACGGACAUAGAGAUAUGUCUUUCCUUCGGGACACGAAGACAGGUGGUGCAUGGUUGUCGUCAGCUCGUGUCGUGAGAUGUUGGGUUAAGUCCCGCAACGAGCGCAACCCUUACCAUUAGUUGCUACGCAAGAGCACUCUAAUGGGACUGCCGUUGACAAAACGGAGGAAGGUGGGGAUGACGUCAAAUCAUCAUGCCCCUUAUGACCUGGGCGACACACGUACUACAAUGGCGGUCAACAGAGGGAGGCAAAGCCGCGAGGCAGAGCAAACCCCUAAAAGCCGUCUCAGUUCGGAUUGCAGGCUGCAACUCGCCUGCAUGAAGUCGGAAUUGCUAGUAAUCGCGGAUCAGCAUGCCGCGGUGAAUACGUUCCCGGGCCUUGUACACACCGCCCGUCACACCAUGAGAGCCGGUAACACCCGAAGUCAAUAGUCUAACCGCAAGGAGGACAUUGCCGAAGGUGGGAUUGGUAAUUGGGGUGAAGUCGUAACAAGGUAGCCGUAUCGGAAGGU